CCCUUAGAUGUCCUGGGCCGCACGCGCGCUACACUGAUGCAUGCAACGAGUAUAUAACCUUGGCCUGAAAGACCUGGGUAAUCUUUUGAACGUGCAUCGUGAUAGGGAUAGAUUAUUGCAAUUAUUAAUCUUGAACGAGGAAUUCCUAGUAAACGCGAGUCAUCAGCUCGCAUUGAUUACGUCCCUGCCCUUUGUACACACCGCCCGUCGCACCUACCGAUUGAAUGGUUCGGUGAAGAUCUCGGACUUCGAUAUUUGUUCUUCAUUGAACUUAUAUAGUGGGAAGUUAUCGGAACCUCAUCAUUUAGAGGAAGGUGAAGUCGUAACA
rnacentral:rRNA from 1 species